rnacentral:rRNA from 1 species
CCUACGGGUGGCUGCAGUGGGGAAUAUUGGGCAAUGGGCGCAAGCCUGACCCAGCAACGCCGCGUGAAGGAAGAAGGCUUUCGGGUUUUAAACUUCUUUUCUCAGGGACGCAGCAAGUCACGGUACCUGAGGAAUAAGCCACGGCUAACUACGUGCCAGCAGCCGCGGUAAUCCGUAGGUGGCAAGCGUUAGCCGGAUUUACUGGUUGUAAAGGGCGUGUAGGCGGGAAUGGAAGUCAGAUGUGAAAACCACGGGACCAACCUGUGGCCUGCAUUUGAAACUGUGGUUCUUGAGUACUGGAGAGGCAGACGGAAUUCGUAGUGUAGCGGUGAAAUGCGUAGAUAUUAGGAGGAACACCAGUGGCGAAGGCGGUCUGCUGGAGAGCAACUGACGCUGAGGCGCGAAAGCGUGGGGAGCGAACAGGAUUAGAUACCCGGGUAGUC